rnacentral:rRNA from 1 species
UACGGGGGGGGCAAGCGUUGUUCGGAAUUACUGGGCGUAAAGGGCUCGUAGGCGGCCAACUAAGUCAGACGUGAAAUCCCUCGGCUUAACCGGGGAACUGCGUCUGAUACUGGAUGGCUUGAGGUUGGGAGAGGGAUGCGGAAGUCCAGGUGUAGCGGUGAAAUGCGUAGAUAUCUGGAGGAACACCGGUGGCGAAGGCGGCAUCCUGGACCAAUUCUGACGCUGAGUGAGCGAAAGCCAGGGGAGCAAACGGG